UACGAAGGGGGGCUAGCGUUGCUCGGAAUCACUGGGCGUAAAGCGCACGUAGGCGGCUUCUUAAGUCAGGGGUGAAAUCCUGGAGCUCAACUCCCAGAACUGCCUUUGAUACUGAGAGCUUGAGUCCGGGAGAGGUGAGUGGAACUGCGAGUGUAGAGGUGAAAUUCGUAGAUAUUCGCAAGAACACCAGUGGCGAAGGCGGCUCACUGGCCCGGUACUGACGCUGAGGUGCGAAAGCGUGGGGAGCAAACAGGG
rnacentral:rRNA from 1 species